rnacentral:rRNA from 1 species
UGGGGAAUAUUGGACAAUGGGGGAAACCCUGAUCCAGCGACGCCGCGUGGGUGAAGAAGGCCUGCGGGUUGUAAAGCCCUUUCGGUUGGGAAGAAAAGUUGCGGCCUAACACGUCGCGACCUUGACGUAACCAACUAAAGAAGCACCGGAUAACUCUGUGCCAGCAGCCGCGGUAAUACAGAGGGUGCGAACGUUAAUCGGAAUUACUGGGCGUAAAGCGCGCGUAGGCGGCUUGGCAAGUCGGGUGUGAAAUCCCCGGGCUCAACCUGGGAACUGCAUUCGAGACUGCUUUGCUAGAGUAUGGGAGAGNGAAGUGGAAUUUCCGGUGUAGCGGUGAAAUGCGUAGAUAUCGGAAGGAACAUCAGUGGCGAAAGCGACUUCCUGGACCAAGACUGACGCUCAUGUGCGAAAGCGUGGGGAGCAAACA